rnacentral:rRNA from 1 species
GUCUUUUUGAUUUAUAUAUAAAGUCUGACCUGCCCACUGAAAAUUUUAAAUGGCUGCAGUAAUUUGACUGUACAAAGGUAGCAUAAUCAUUAGUUUUUUAAUUAAAAGCUUGUAUGAAAGGUUGGACGAAGUAAAAUCUGUCUCUUUUUAAUAUAAUUAGAAUUUAAUUUUUAAGUAAAAAAGCUUAAAUUUUUAUAAAAGACGAGAAGACCCUAUAGAGUUUAAUAAUUUUAAUAAAAUAUUUAAUUAAGAUUUAUUAAUUUUAUUUAAUUAAAAUUAUUUUAUUGGGGUAAUAAAAAGAUUAAAAAAAUUCUUUUUUUUUAAUACAUUAAUUUAUGAAUAUAUGAUCCAUUUGUAGUGAUUAAAAGAUUAAAUUACCUUAGGGAUAACAGCGUAAUUUUUUUAAAGAGUUCUUAUCGAUAAAAAAGUUUGCGACCUCGAUGUUGGAUUAAAGAUUAAUUUAGGUGUAGAAGUUUAAAUUUUUGGUCUGUUCGACCAUUAAAUCUUUACAUGAUCUGAGUUCAAACCGGUGUAAGCCAGGUUGGUUUCUAUCUUUAUUAAUUUUUUAUAUUUUAGUACGAAAGGACCAAAUAUAAAAUAUAUAAAUAUUUUUAUUUUGAAUAUUAUUAAAUUAGUUAUUUUGGCAGAUUAGUGUAAUGAAUUUAGAAUUCAUUUAUGUAAAUAUUUUACAAAUAAUACUUGUUUAUAAAAGAUAUAAUUAUUUCUUUUAUUUUAAUUAUUUUAUUAAUUAUUUGUGUUUUAGUAGGUGUAGCUUUUUUAACUUUAUUAGAACGAAAGGUU